rnacentral:rRNA from 1 species
GACAGAGGGUGCAAACGUUGUUCGGAAUUACUGGGCGUAAAGCGUGUGUAGGCGGCUACAUAAGUCGGAUGUGAAAGCCCCGGGCUCAACCCGGGAAGUGCACUCGAUACUACGUAGCUUGAGUCUCGGAGAGGUUGGUGGAAUUCUCGGUGUAGAGGUGAAAUUCGUAGAUAUCGAGAGGAACACCGGUGGCGAAGGCGGCCAACUGGACGAAGACUGACGCUGAGACACGAAAGCGUGGGGAGCAAACAGG